AAUAAAGGCUCGAGCAGAAACGCCUGGCUGCUGGAACGACCCCGCCAUGGGAACAUUUUCAAACUGUCUGUAUAAAUUGAAUAGCGUGAAGAAAAACAACAAGAACAUGUAAAUAUCUAUUUUGAUCCGUUGGUAGAAGCAGAACUGCCCUUCUGGGAUUUGAUGCUAUAAAUGCCUCCGAACGUCGAGGUCGAGGACUUUACCAGUUAAACCUGAAACACCAAAACAUGAUCAACAGGUCCAUCUGAGAAUUAAAAGACAAAAGCAGGGAAAUCAUGAACUAAACGACUGACAGAACCUACAUCCAUUCAGAUAAGAGACGGAUAAAAACAGCAGAAUCCUAUAUGAGAAAUCAGUCAGAGCGUGGCAUCUGGGGCGUUUCAGAGACGUCAUGUAAUGAUGCGACUUUCAGCUUCCUGAGUCUGUUUUCUAAAUGAGAUGCAGCAGUUGGCCAUGUCUGUUCUGUUCCAGCGUGAUUUUCUCUUUAUAACAGCUCAGUAACUCGUUGUUGUGGUGUGCGAGCCCGUCCUAUAUUAGUGGAGCGAAUCCACUGCAAAAAUACGUUUCUAUGCUUCCCUAGAAAGUGAGUGUAUUUACUCUGAGCUGACGGAGAUAUGCUGGUGAGACGAGCGUCGCGAGGCGUCUUGGGUGAGAAGGUCUGCCCAGAUACAGGAGAGAGCAGAUAACAUGCAGAAAUUGACAGAUUCGAUGCCAGAUCUUCCCUUUAAUGGGCGAGCAAGCUUUUAAAACGUUUUUAACUCAAAUACAUAGAGUCUAUAAUCCAUAAUAACACUUCCUCCAGUGAAAAAGUGUUCUGGUGUGAAUCAGGAGAGAAAUCUGCACAGAUCAAGCAGUGUUUGGAUUAUUGUGAUGUUUUUAUCAGCUGUUUGGACUCUCAUUCUGACGGCACCCAUUCACUGCAGAGCACUGAUGCAGUGACACAUUUCUACAAACCUGAUGAAGAAACAAACUCAUCCUGAUAUCAGAUGAACUACAGUAAGUGUGAGCACAUUUUCAGCUAAUCUUCCUUUUUGGGUAAACUAUUUCUUUUAAAAUAAAAAAGGGACAUUUAUAAUGGCUACUGGGCCCUGUCUUGUUGGUUGAUGUGAUGCUAUUAACAUUAAUCUGCUCUCAUUCUAGCCAUGGGCACAUAAACAACACAGUUUUGUAGCCAAUUAGCCUAAUAGCUGCUGUAAUAUCCACGAUAAGAGUGUUCACAUGAUUUCUGUCACCAGGUUCACUGGCGCUGUCAGUACAGACACAUGCCAACAGCAACAGCAGCUCAACUGAGGCUUUCCAGAGUUUUAUUGCAUUAAAUGACAAAGAUAACAAGCUGUCAUUGCAGAUUUUGUUUUAAGCUCUGGCUUCAUAGCUUUAUGUAAGAGAACUGGAACGCUGGAAUAAGGCCUAUGUGAGCUGAAACAGUGAUAUUUUGAAAGCAUCCCAAACAUGCU
ensembl:lncRNA